rnacentral:lncRNA from 1 species
AUGCCUCAUUCACACUAGCAGCGACUUUGUAGCUGCCUUUCGCUCUGGGUGGCGACCUGCUGCAAACGCAGGUCUGUCUCGGCAUAUACCCUCUACAACCGGCCUCUGAGCGAGCUGAGAGAGGAUCACAUGAGCUCUGUUGGUGCUUCUAUUGGCUGACGCUCAAGAAAGAUGCUUUUUAUUUGUAUAAAGUUGAAGGAUUCUUUAUUGCGUCACUUGACACACCCACCCAGUCACCCAGUUGCUUUGCUCACUCUUCGUUAAAAUAAUCGAAUGCAUGUCGCUUUGCCACUGCGAGUCACACCUACUGUGAAUGAGGCU